UACGGAGGGGACUAGCGUUGUUCGGAAUUACUGGGCGUAAAGCGCAUGUAGGCGGCAGCGCAAGUCGGGCGUGAAAUCCCACGGCUCAACCGUGGAAGUGCACUCGAAACUGCGCAGCUAGAGUCCUGGAGAGGAAGGUGGAAUGCUUGGUGUAGAGGUGAAAUUCGUAGAUAUCAAACGGAACACCGGUGGCGAAGGCGGCCUUCUGGACAGUGACUGACGCUGAGAUGCGAAAGCGUGGGGAGCAAACAGGG
rnacentral:rRNA from 1 species